rnacentral:rRNA from 1 species
AAAGGAAUUGACGGGGGCCCGCACAAGCAGCGGAGCAUGUGGUUUAAUUCGAAGCAACGCGAAGAACCUUACCAGGUCUUGACAUCCAUUUAAAGCCAUAGAGAUAUGGUGUCUCUUCGGAGGAAAUGAGACAGGUGGUGCAUGGUUGUCGUCAGCUCGUGUCGUGAGAUGUUGGGUUAAGUCCCGCAACGAGCGCAACCCCUACAGAUAGUUGCCAGUGCGUGAUGGCAGGCACUCUAUCGGGACUGCCGUGGAGAACACGGAGGAAGGUGGGGACGACGUCAAAUCAUCAUGCCCCUUAUGACCUGGGCUACACACGUGCUACAAUGGCUAUUACAAAGAGCAGCGAGACCGCAAGGUGGAGCGAAUCUCAAAAAGAUAGUCCCAGUUCGGAUUGUGGGCUGCAACCCGCCCACAUGAAGUUGGAGUUGCUAGUAAUCGCGAAUCAGCAUGUCGCGGUGAAUGCGUUCCCGGGCCUUGUACACACCGCCCGU